GGGAGUACUUAUGGGAAAGAGAGGGUGACCCCCUGGGGCCCUGUCCUUCCACCUUGCACACAGCCCUCAUGUGCAGAAUGAGAAGGAGUGAGACUCGAAUGAUGCCAUCGUAAAGGACUCCCUGAAGUGGCAGAGAGAGCUGGUUUAUGAAGCAAAAUCAACAAGUUGUAAGACUUCAGGCCCCCAUGUACCUGGGGAAGUGCAGAAUAUAUUUCCACCUAGGAGCAAGACCUGACGGCCCAAUGUAUCUGUUACCCACCAGGCUCUGUGUCCAGCAGCUUCGGAAGGAUUCAGCUCCACAUGCCAAAUAAGAGAAGAGAAGGAGCCAGUGUUAUCAAGGAGGUGCCAUUAUCCAAUUCAUGCCAGAGACACUCAGAUCCAAGGCCCACGGCGGACAGAAGAAAACUGGAGAAAUCCAAGACAGGACCUGGCAGCUGAGAGCCCAUCUGUCUUCCCACCACAGCCACAUACACCGCCUCAGAGCUGGGCAGCAAUUACGCUUCACGGUUAUUUAAGGAGCCAUUAAAAUAAGUUCUGAAAUAAACCAUUGUGUAAUUGUCUAAA